GCCAGACAUUUUAUUUUAAGACCAAUGACUAGUCUAUAAUAAUUAAUUGAAUUAUGAGAUUAAAUCAAUAAAUAAUCAUUAAAAACAGUAAAGCUACAGCUACGCAGCCUAAAAUAAUUGUAUUUUUGCGCUUGUUGUGCCAGGGAAUUUUGCUACAUCAACUAUCUUAUAGCCUGCUGCUACAAAGAAGUGCUGCUACAUCGAAUGAGGGUUUGGCAUGGGCUAGCAAUCUUUUUUCACUUUAUUAUUUCAAUUAUAUUCCUAUUGUUUGUAAAGCCUCUACUGACAAGCGGAAAAAUAAAAUUAUUUUAGGCCGCGUAACUGUAGGAUUACCAUUAAAAACAAUUAAAAUAAAAAAACUCAAUUUAAAUCAUUAUUUUUAUUUGUCAUGAUUUAAAUCGAAACAACCCUUUAAAUAUUCCAUCUUUCUGAGGCAGAGGGACAUAAUUCUUGGUUUUAUUAUUUUUUAAUUUAAUAUCUCUGGAUAUUUUAUAUAUUUAGUGUGCGUACAACAGUUAAAGAUUUUUAAAGCAAUACAAAAUUAAACUUAGCAGAAGGCAUAAACUUCUACUCUGGAGAAAAAAAAGGAAGACAGCGAAAAUGACAAAGAGACAAAAAAUUGUGUAUAUCUUGGUGUAGAUGAUUUAUCCUCAAUUUCUUAUAAUAAAACAAAAAAUAUUAUUAAACUUUGAGAUUUACCUGUAACUCGAAACUCUUUACAGAAGUUGAAUGAACAAAAUCUAUUAAAUGUGUUCAUUCUUAGUCAUCCUUAAUAAUAAGAUCCAUACUAAAAUGUAUAAUAAGCUUUAUACUAAUAUCCAACUUAACUAAUAGCUAAGUUUUAUAAGUUUUGUCAUUCAAAGCAUGUACAAUCUUAGCAUUUCCAUUACAUUAGAUAGUAAUUUUAAACAUUUUGUAAAAAAGAUUGUUAAAAAUGGUCAAGAAAAUUCAUCUGAUUUUCAUGUCAUUGAACUUUAUAUAAAUAGUUGGCUACAAACCCUGUUGGAGAAACAUUGUUUUAAUAUGAAUUUUUUUGUUUUACAGUGCAAUUUGUAUCUUAAACAUUAACGAGAAUUGUUUUGUGUCAUUGCCAGAAAUUAAAUGCACACCUGCAAAUUUCAUAAUUCAUAAAAAUAUUAUGAAUUCAUUAGCAAGUAUAUAUUUUUAUCAUUAAAAAUUUGCCCCUCUGUCUUUAAUUUUAUCUGUUUUAUUAGUGAUUGUUGUAUUUACUUUCAUAAAUUCUAAAUAUAAUAUGUAAUUAGUUGUAUAGUUUCAUAAUAAUAUAAUUAACUUUAUUGUUUCAAGAUAAAGUUGUAUCCUUGAAAGAUAUGCUGGUAUUAUUGGCAUAAUGGACAAGCAUUGAAAUGCAACUUAGUGAACUACAAAACACAUCGAAUUCAGUUAUAAAAUUGGAGUAACAAAGGUAUGCUAAUUAUUGUAUUGCCUGAGCGAGUGUCAUUGCCGUUAAAAGAAGUGAAGAAUUCAAGUACUCUGGAAAAAAAAGACAAGAAAAUACUUAAGUAAAUGGUCAUUUAUUUGGCACAAAUUGGAGUUAAAGACGAAGGAGAUUGUAUAUGUUAUUUACUAAGAAUAGGUUUUUAAAAUGGCCUAGCUGUAAAAUUAAACUAUGCAGAGAGAGGACAAAAAAUUGGAAUUUGAAAAAUGUUGAUUGCAUAUGUUG